rnacentral:sRNA from 1 species
AGGUUAUAUUUGAUGAAAGUCUACACAAAGCUCUGGAUUCUUUUCUGAAAUAUUGUCCAAGAUAUUAUGACAGUGUUAUAGAUUUACCAGAAGUGGGACAACACAGCCAGCAGGAACUUUGUCGACUUGUUUACCUGACUUAUCUUCGAAUGGCAACACACAAAGAAUCAAAAGAACAUUUCAUAACCCCAGAAGUAUUUGGUGACAUAAUCUAUGAAAACUUCCUCUUUGAUAUUCCAAAAAUUUUAGACAUCUGCUCUCUGUUUGGAAAGGGAAAUGGCCCUUUGUUGACAAAAAUGAUCUCCAAUAUAUUUACCCAGCAGCCAAAGUAUACAGAUGAUCUGAGAGAAACUGUUCCUACAAUGCU